CUGUGUGUUUCAGGAUGUGGAUGAGAGGGCUGUUCCAUUACUAGGAUAUCUUCCACAGGAUUUGAUUGGCACACCGGUCCUUCUGCACCUGCAUCCCAGUGAUCGACCAGCCAUGCUCGGCAUCCACAGGAAGAUCCUGCAGUCUGCAGGCCAGCCGUUUGAUCACGCAAUCCGCUUCUGUGCUCGUAAUGGAGAGUACAUCACCAUAGACACCAGCUGGU